AUACGUUUCUGUCAGGAAGGAUACCAUGACCAUGAAAGUGGAUAUUGCAGGGCUAAGCUUAUCCCUUACACUCCAGAUGUGCUGACCCCGCUGUUUCCUCAAAUGCGGACAACUGAACUGCAUAUUUCAUGGUAGUGUAGUGACUGAUUUCCCACUCUCCCCCA